AUUGAACGCUGGCGGCAGGCUUAACACAUGCAAGUCGAGCGGGGGAAGGUAGCUUGCUACCGGACCUAGCGGCGGACGGGUGAGUAAUGCUUAGGAAUCUGCCUAUUAGUGGGGGACAACAUCUCGAAAGGGAUGCUAAUACCGCAUACGUCCUACGGGAGAAAGCAGGGGAUCUUCGGACCUUGCGCUAAUAGAUGAGCCUAAGUCGGAUUAGCUAGUUGGUGGAGUAAAGGCCUACCAAGGCGACGAUCUGUAGCGGGUCUGAGAGGAUGCUCCGCCACACUGGGACUGAGACACGGCCCAGACUCCUCCGGGAGGCAGCAGUGGUGAAUAUUGGACAAUGGGGGGAACCCUGAUCCAGCCAUGCCGCGUGUGUGAAGAAGGCCUUAUGGUUGUAAAGCACUUUAAGCGAGGAGGAGGCUACUUUAGUUAAUACCUAGAGAUAGUGGACGUUACUCGCAGAAUAAGCACCGGCUAACUCUGUGCCAGCCGCCGCGGUAA
rnacentral:rRNA from 1 species